rnacentral:rRNA from 1 species
AACGCUAGCUACAGGCUUAACACAUGCAAGUCGAGGGGAAACGAUAUUGGAAGCUUGCUUCCGAUGGGCGUCGACCGGCGCACGGGUGAGUAACGCGUAUCCAACCUGCCCACCACUUGGGGAUAACCUUGCGAAAGUAAGACUAAUACCCAAUGAUAUCUCUAGAAGACAUCUGAAGGAGAUUAAAGAUUUAUCGGUGAUGAAUGGGGAUGCGUCUGAUUAGCUUGUUGGCGGGGUAACGGCCCACCAAGGCAACGAUCAGUAGGGGUUCUGAGAGGAAGGUCCUCCACAUUGGAACUGAGACACGGUCCAAACUCCUACGGGAGGCAGCAGUGAGGAAUAUUGGUCAAUGGACGAGAGUCUGAACCAGCCAAGUAGCGUGCAGGAUGACGGCCCUAUGGGUUGUAAACUGCUUUUAUAAGGGAAUAAAGUGAGUCUCGUGAGACUUUUUGCAUGUACCUUAUGAAUAAGGACCGGCUAAUUCCGUGCCAGCAGCCGCGGUAAUACGGAAGGUCCGGGCGUUAUCCGGAUUUAUUGGGUUUAAAGGGAGCGUAGGCCGGAGAUUAAGCGUGUUGUGAAAUGUAGACGCUCAACGUCUGCACUGCAGCGCGAACUGGUUUCCUUGAGUACGCACAAAGUGGGCGGAAUUCGUGGUGUAGCGGUGAAAUGCUUAGAUAUCACGAAGAACUCCGAUUG